rnacentral:tRNA from 1 species
UGUGUUGUAGCUCAGUGGUAGAGCGCUUGCCUAGCACAUGUGAGGCCCUGGGUUCGAUCCUCAGCACCACAU